AGCAGGCUUUAACAGUUGGUCGGAAGUGAUGGUUUAGUGUUUGAAAUAUUAGUGUUAUUUCCCUCACACGCCUAUUGCUUAGCUUCUGAAAAUAUAUAACUUAUUCAUCAACUGGGGUCGUAUGGAUUUUCAUCGCAUCCUUUUUGCAUGGUUUUUGAAGCGUCAACUAUGAAGGACCUGCACUUCCACACAGAGAUGGAUUAUUUGGUGUUCCACAGAAGGAUCAGGGACAGCAUUAGGAGAUUUGGACCAGACCUGGGUCCACUUAAUCGAGAGUGACAUACAACGCCAAGCCUCCCCUAAGUGCAAAGAGGAGUGCAGCAAAAAGCAUUAGGACAGAAUCCAGUUUUUGACAGAAUGCAAGGGGAUAAUGCUGGAAUAAUGUUUGAAUGAGGGAAUUCAAGGAUUUUGUACCACGCAAUAUCACUGCAUCACCCAUUGCCAUCACUCAUCUCCCAAGAGGAAGUCCACUCG